rnacentral:rRNA from 1 species
UACGGGGGGGGCAAGCGUUGUUCGGAAUUACUGGGCGUAAAGGGUUUGUAGGUGGCUUGCUAAGUCAGACGUGAAAUCCCUCAGCUUAACUGGGGAACUGCGUCUGAUACUGGCGAGCUUGAGUGCAGGAGAGGAACGCGGAAUUCCAGGUGUAGCGGUGAAAUGCGUAGAUAUCUGGAGGAACACCGGUGGCGAAGGCGGCGUUCUGGACUGUAACUGACACUGAGAAACGAAAGCUAGGGUAGCAAACGGG